UCCACAGUGCCAGCCAUGUCUCCUUCUGUUCCGCUGCGGCCUCAAUCCUCUCCGUGGUUCCCUCUUUCCCCUAGGACACAGGCCAUGACCUUCCGCUGCCCAUGAAGCCUGGAGUGGACCUUCCUCUCUUCCCCGGCCCUCACGCUAACUCACGCCACGCCGUCAUCUGUUUCGGCUCUUCGGACACCCAAACUUUCACCACGAGUGUCUGUGUAUCUUCUACCUCUGCCUGAGUCUGGACCCCCCACCACUUCAGCUAAAUUACUACACGAUGAACCCUAUGGUACACCCUGCGUCCUUCCUGCCGUUGGCUUCUCAAGGGUCUGCGCUGUCGACAGUGACCUGCCGAGAGUCCGGGGCCCAGUACCUAGGUCUGCUCUGGAGCCAGCGUUAACUGGAUGUCUGAUCUUGGUCGUGUUGUUCAGCAUUCUGUGAUUUCCUUUUCUCCUUUAUAAAACGAAAGCAAUAACGUUUAUUUGCAAAGGGUUGUGAGAAGCUUUCUCUGCACUUCCACCUCGAUCAAUCCGUCACCGCACACCGUAAUCAGCUCCAGCUGGAGAUGCGUUUUACACUCAGCACGGACGGCGCCUUCCACACCUGUUACAGGGGAUCAGCUACUGUUUCCUUACGUGCAUCUGAAGGCUGGAUUCAUCCUCAUAAUUUGACACCAAAUAAAUAGAAAACAGCUCUGACUCAGAAGAAACAGCCCCCCUGCUCCGACAGCACACAUGUCUCCGUGGCUACCGGCUCCGGAAGCAGGAUCACAAACAGCCCUCGAGACCGUGUCGCGUCCAUUCCUUAUUUUUAAAUUUUUUUGGAAAGUUUUCUUGCA